CUCAAUGAAUUUUAUAUAGCCGCAAUAUUGUGCUAAGGUAGCAUAAUCAUUUGUUUUUUAAUUAAAAACUAGAACGAAAGAUUUAACAUUUUAAUUUCUUUCUUACAUAUAAAAAUUAAACUUAUUUUAAAUAUAAAAAAAUAUUUAUUUAUUAAAAAGACGAUAAGACCCUAUUGAACUUUACUAAAGUUUAACUGGGGUAGUUAAUUAAAUAUUAUUUUAAUUUAAUAUUAAAAAAUACCUAAUAAAAUUAAAUUAAUUAAGUUACCAUAGGGAUAACAGCGUAAUAAAUUUCACAAGAUCUUAUUCAAAAAUUUGUUUACGACCUCGAUGUUGAAUUAAUAAUCUAUUAAAUGCAAUAAUUUAAUAAAGAAAGUCUGUUCGACUU
rnacentral:rRNA from 1 species